UACGUAGGGUGCAAGCGUUAAUCGGAAUUACUGGGCGUAAAGGGCGCGUAGGCGGCCAUGCGUGUCUUCCGUGAAAUCCCUCGGCUUAACUGAGGACGUGCGGAAGAAACUGCAAGGCUCGAGUCCGGGAGAGGGGGGUGGAAUUCCCAGUGUAGCGGUGAAAUGCGUAGAUAUUGGGAGGAACACCGGUGGCGAAGGCGGCCCCCUGGACCGGUACUGACGCUGAGGCGCGAAAGCGUGGGUAGCAAACGGG
rnacentral:rRNA from 1 species